CCGGUGGUCUUAAAAACGAUCCUCCAACUGGAAAUGUUGUCAUGGAGCCAGAGGAUACUAUGUAUGAAGGGAGCAUAUCCAGAGACCUGGUCGCAGAAGUUGCUGUGGAAGCUUUGCUUAACGAGGAAUCAUCUUUCAAGGUUGUGGAGAUAGUUGCUCGUGCUGAAGCUCCAAAACGUUCCUAUAAAGAUCUAUUUGCCUCUGUUAAAGGACGUUAACUAGAAUACAAAUCAAUCACACUAUGUAAUGAGUCUCAUGCUCAAAACCUUUAUUUCUCUUAUGUCUCGAGUACAACAAACAAAUACAAUUGCGCAUAAACUGAGUUCAAGACAAAUUGAGAGUGUUCCAUUCAGAUU